GAUGAGAACGCAGCGAAAUGCGAUAAGUAAUGUGAAUUGCAGAAUUCAGUGAAUCAUCGAAUCUUUGAACGCACAUUGCGCCCGCCAAUAUUCUGGCGGGCAUGCCUGUUCGAGCGUCAUUUCAACCAUCAAGCCCCAGGCUUGUGUUGGGGACCUGCGGCUGCCGCAGGCCCUGAAAACCAGUGGCGGGCUCGCUGUCACACCGGGCGUAGUAGAUUUUAUCUCGCUCAGGGCGUGCUGCGGGUCCCGGCCGUUAAAAGCCUUUUUUUACCCAAGGUUGACCUCGGAUCAGGUAGGAAGACCCGCUGAACUUAAGCAUAUCAAUAAGCGGAGGA
rnacentral:misc_RNA from 1 species